rnacentral:rRNA from 1 species
AACGAACGCUGGCGGCGCGUCUUAACCAUGCAAGUCGAGCGGCAGGCAGCAAUGCCGAGCGCGGCGGACUGGUGAGUAACACGUGGAUAACGUACCCCGAUGUCCGGGACAGCCUGUAGAAAUAGAGGGUAAUACCGGAUAGAUCACUGUUUACGUGAGGUAGACAGCGGGAAAGGAGCUUCGGCUCCGCGACGGGAUCGGUCUGCGGCCCAUCAGCUGGACGGCGGGGUAAAGGCCCGCCGUGGCGAGGACGGGUAUCCGGCCUGAGAGGGCGGACGGACACAUUGGGACUGAGAUACGGCCCAGACUCCUACGGGAGGCAGCAGGUAAGAAUAUUCCGCAAUGGGGGGAACCCUGACGGAGCGACGCCGCGUGAACGAAGAAGGCCGGAAGGUUGUAAAGUUCUUUUCUGUCCGAGGAAUAAGUUUCGGAGGAAAUGCCGGGACGGCGACGGUAGGGCAGGAAUAAGCACCGGCUAAUUACGUG